UCCGCAUAUAAAAUUACAUGAAAGAAACACAAAAACAAUAAUCAAAAGAACCAAAGACAUGCAAACAAAUUCUGCCAGGCAUCACGAGAAAAAAUGAAACAUUAAUUAAAAGAUCAACAAAACAGAUCAAAGAGAGAUUAACAAAAUUACUGGAAGCGUUGAAUUAAGACAAAAUAGUAAAGAUAUGGAGGAAUAAACCUCCAAUAGAUCUGAAAUCUAACUCUUGGACAGUUGACGAUACUAAGCAACGGAACCGUGAACAAGAUCUAAACAGGAAAACCUUGCCGGAAACCUCAUCGAACUCUGAAAUGACUGCCUCACUAUCUCCCUUUACUCAUAUUUGAGCAUCCAUUCCAAUGUCUAUCUCUCACGAGAAGAGAAAGAAGAAACUUUUCCUCACUGUUGCUGCUCUCUCACACUAUUGUUGCUGGUUUCCGGCGAGCUCUGGAUGUUGCUUUGAAGAGGAGUGUAAUUAGAUAUCAGGUGGUGUAAGGUGAAGAAGAAGAGCGGCGAUGAUGUUGGCUGGCGAGUCGGGGCUGCUGGCUAUGGAGGACAACGGUGCUGGUACUAAAGGUUGAAGAAGAGGAAGCCUCCUGAUGGGAGGUGUUUUUGGUUGUCUUAAAUGUGGCUGACCGGUCGCUGGCGGAAUAGAAGGCGGUGGUCUUUGUGUGGAGUGACUGCUGGAAGGGGCUUAGUUGCUAGGUUUGUAAAGGGUUGGGGUCUCUAGGGUUGCUGUUAUAUCUCCUAUGUUCUGAAGAUUGGUCUAGGGUUCAAGACUAAUGGGGGUUUUUACAUUUCUUAAAAUAAGAUGGG
rnacentral:lncRNA from 1 species